rnacentral:lncRNA from 1 species
CCUGGAGAGAGGCUCACCAACCCUGGUGGUUCUUCCUGGGCACAGAGGGAGUAGGUUACCCAGCCUCCUGCUGUUAGGCGGAGCCCUGGGGUUGAGUUCCAGACAAUGGAAUGUGGGCAGAAGUGAUACAGGCCACUUCGAGAUCUGGCCAUUAAAGGCCCCAAAGCACUGGACGUGAAGGACUCUGCAGUGAAGGAAGGAUCUGGGAUCUUGAUUGGUCACAUGGGAAAGAGCCACCAUGAGUGAUGCCUGACUCACACUGGACUGUGACAUGGGCAAGAAGUUCACUUAGAGUGUUGAGACACUGAGCUUUAGAGAUGGUUUACUUCCCAUCGCUCCAAAAAACUCCCUUCCCCAUCCCAAGGCACAUGAGAAACCCCAUCCUCAGAGGCUUUCGUGGUGAGCAUGACAUAGAGCAGAGGCCUCAGAGGUCGCUUAUUUAGGCAGCCCUGCCACCUGAGCAUUUCUGCCUUCACUUAGGAGGGACUGGAAGGGAACUGACGCAGGUAAGGUGCAGGAGACAUUAAGCGAAUCAUUCUCCAGGCAUAGGACACUUGCCAGUCACCUGUUCACUUUUUGAUUUAGGAGUAGGGAGGGGAGUAUUGUAAGAAUCAAGAAGUAGUAUUGAAUGUGAAGAGUAGAAGUGUGGGGUGAGGCUGGAAGUGCUCAGAUUUAAGGUGCCAGGCAGUGUCAUGCCAAGGCAGAAGACUCUGGGCUGGCCAGGAGGGAGCUGGCCAAAACGAUGAGUCAGGUUGGCAUGAGUUAAUUUCCAGGCACACAUAUCUGCCACCUGAUAACACCUCUCCUGGGUUGUCUUCCACUCGGAGGCCUUCCAAAUGUCGCAGGUCCCAACUGUCUCUCCCUAUGUUCACCUCCUCUCCAUAAACAUCUCUUCCAGUCUCCCAUAUUCUCAAGCCAGAAACCAUAGAGUCAGUCUCAACUCCCCCCUUCCUCCCCUGCCCACCUCCAAUCCUUUGGCAAGUUCUGUCUGCUCUUCCUUCUAAAUAUACCGAGAAGUCAGCUACCUCUUGCCAUCUGGCUGCUGCCACACUAGGCCAAGCUGCCAUCAUCUCUUGCCUACCUUAUGGCAAAGGCCUCCUGGCUGGUCUCUCUGCUCCAUCCUAGCACCUCCUACUGCCUGUUCUUCCCACCGCAGUCAUAUUAUUUUUAUUUAAAAAAGUAAAUCAGACCCUGUUGCUCAAACUCUCCAAAUGCAUGCUGUCUUGCUGAAAAUAAAAUCCAAAGUUUUGGGCCCGAUCUGGGCCCCCCUCCUCUCUGAUCUCAUCUCCUCCAGUCCCCUCCUCCAGCAGAUGGGUCAGUGCCCUCCCCACAUGCCCUGACUUGCCCCAUAAUUCACCCACCUGACAAACUGCCCUGUCCUCCAGUGGCCUAUCUGCAUCUGCCCGGAGGUAUAUUAUGGGCUCCAGGGAAGCUUCCAGAAGCCAUCAUCAGCGAUGAGGCAGGAGUUGGAUAAAGACCCAGCUUCCUGACUGGUCAGUGGGGCAGUUCUGAGGCACGUUCCAUGUAUUCCCUCAGAGGUCCCCAGCAGGACUGAACCUCAGUGGCCCACAGUGGUGACCCACUCAUGAACGUCCCAAUUGUUAGCUUUCCUCCCUCCCUUCUCUUCCCCAUCCUCUCCAGGGGCUUCCUAAGAUCACCCACAGACACCCCUCGUUCCUAAAUACUCGGAGCUCCCAUUGUAGCUCAGUGGGUUAAGAACCCAGCUAAUAUCCAUGAGGAUUCAGGUUUGAUCCCCGGUCUGGCUCAGUGGGUUAAGGAUCUGGCAUUGCUGUGAGCUGCAGUAUAGGUCACAGAUGUGCCUCAGAUCCCAUUUUGCUGUGGCUGUGGCACAGGCUGGCAGCUGCAGCUCUGAUUCGACCCCUAGCCUGGGAACCUCUAUAUGCCAUAGGUGCGGCCCUAAAAAAACAAAAAAAAACACCAAAUCCUCAUCUCAGGAGACGAAGAUAGCCUCUUGUUCCACUCCAGCCACACCAGCUUCCUGUUUCUAGAACGCAUCAAACUCCUCACCACCCAGAGCCUUCGUGUCUUCUGUUCCCUCUGCCUGGAAUACUCUUCCUCUCAAGUCCUUUCAAUCUCUGCUCAAAUAUCAUCUUCUCAGACUUUACAUACAAAGUAGGAACUCUGAGCUCCAUGACUCGCUCUCUAGCCCCUUUCUCUGCUUUCUUUCUUUCUCAUCAAUGGCUAACAGACUCACUGAACGUUCAUUUGUUUAACUAUUGACUCUUUCCCCCCCAGCAAAGGAUAAGCUUCAUGAGACAAGGGGCUUAGUUUGCUUUGUUCUGUUCUGUUCUUUGCUUUUUCCCAGCCAGUGUCAAGAAUGGUUCCUGGCACACAAUGGGUGUUUAGUAAAUGUUGACUGAAUAAAUGGACAUAGAGACAGAUAAGAGGGAGAAAAGAAAGGAAAGAAUACUUUUAACCGUAGUCGCCAACAGACAACUUGGCUUGAGUGAUCUUUGUUGGCAGUUGCUCAGAGUCUACCAGAUGGGUGUGGUGCCACUGCUUAAGAAAGAUCUUGAGACAUACUCAAUUUCCAAUGUUCUAUCAAAGAAUUGGAAAUGUCCCCUGAUUAAAAAUGUAGAGAGUUACGUUGUGGCGCAUAUUUCAUUUUAUUUUAAUGAUUUUUAAUUUUUUUCCAUUAUAGUUGGUUUACUGUGUUCUGUCAAUUUCUACUGUACAGCAGUCACACGUAUAUACACAUUCUUUUUCUCACGUUAUCCUCCAUCAUGCUCCAUCACAAGUGACUAGAUAGAGUUCCCUGUGCUGUACAGCAGGAUCUCAUUGCUUAUCCAUUCCAAAUGCAAUAGUUUGCAUCUAUUAACCCCAGACUCCCAGUUCAUCCCACUCCCUCCUUCUUGGCAACCACAAGUCUGUUCUCCAAGUCCACGAGUCAUGAGAAGUAUUUUAGAUCUUCGUUCUAGCAUCGUUCACAAAUUCUUCUAAUUUAGAACUUUUUUUUUUAAUAGUAGACUUGUGCCGCUAUGCAGCUUACGCAUAAGAGGAUUAGAACCUGCUGUUCUUAUGGGUGUGAUCUGGGUUUUAUGUCAGCCUUCUGGCAGCUGCCGAAAUGUCUCCUCUCAGAGAAACCUUCCCUGUCCACCAUCUAAAGGUGGGAAGCCCUAUGUGGUGAUUCUCUUCCAUAAUGUGCUGGUGUUUCUUUGGUGGCACUUACCCUUACCUGUAGGGACAUAUUUAUUUGUUGCCACUUCUUCCAUGUUGUCUCCCUUCACAGAGUGUAAGCUCCCUGAGGACAGGACCGUGUCUGUUUUGUCACGACUGCAUGCAGGUGCCUGACACACAACAGACACUCCGUUAAUAGCUGAAAGAUGCAAGAAGGAAGGGAGACAGGAACCAGGAACCAGGGAGCUGGGGGCAGAGGGGUGGGCAAUGCGCUCAAGGCCAGGUCAUCACCCAGGCUUAGGACCCAGGCCUUCUGAGCCCUCCUCCCAGUUCCUCUCUGUGCUUCCCUGAAGCUUUGAAUCUUGUCGAGGACAGGCAGGGUCAUCCAAGAAAGCAGAAAGAGGAAAAGAAAAAUGAGGCACCCACGGAUAGGAUGGAGCAUCUAGGCUCUUUUCACAGCCACUAUUCCUUAUUUCUUGCUGGAGUAUUGGCACCUUUAAAAGCCUUGGCUGUCCUUCCCAACCUCCCCACUCAAUCACAAACCACAGUGCCUAGAAGAAAAGCAAGGGAGGAAAAAAAAAAAAAUCAAUGCGCUAAAUCUUCCCUGGGCUCAGUAGCAACUCCUGCAGCAGCUUCCAUCUCUGGCCACAGAACUGAGCUCUCCAGCCUUCCAAACUUGCAGGUUAAAAAUAUGCCCCUCUCAGAGUUCCCGUUUUGGCUCAGUGGUUAACGAAUCUGACUAGGAACUGUGAGGUUGUGGGUUCGAUCCCUGGCCUCCCUCAGUGGGUUAAGGAUCCAGUGUUGCUGUGAGCUGGGGUGUAGGUCGCAGCCAUGGCUCGGAUCCUGAGUUGCUGUGGCUGUGGUGUAGACUGGCAGCAACAGCUCCAAUUAGACCCCUAGCCUGGGAACCUCCAUAUGCCACGGGCGCUGCCCUAAAAAGACACACACACACACACACACACACACACACAAAUACAUAUACAAAUAUGUAUAUAUAUAUAUAAAAUCCCUCUCCCCUCAAGCUUCCCCUGUGGCUCAGUGGGUUAGGAACCCACCAGAGUGUCUGUGAGGAUUGAGCUUGGAUGCCUGUCCUCACUCAGUGGGUUAAGGAUCCACUCAUCAGGUUAAAGGAUCUGGUGUUGCCACAAGCUGCAGCAUUGGUAGGUCGCAGAUGCAGCUCAGAUCUGGUGUUGUCCUGGCUGCAGGUGGGUGUAGGCCUGUGGCUGCAGCUCCAGUUGGACC